AAGUUGAGUGGCGGACGGGUGAGUAACACGGUGGGUAACCUGCCUAAAAGAAGGGGAUAACACUUGGAAACAGGUGCUAAUACCGUAUAUCUCUAAGGAUCGCAUGAUCCUUAGAUGAAAGAUGGUUCUACUAUCGCUUUUAGAUGGACCCGCGGCGUAUUAACUAGUUGGUGGGGUAACGGCCUACCAAGGUAAUGAUACGUAGCCGAACUGAUAGGUUGAUCGGCCACAUUGGGACUGAGACACGGCCCAAACUCCUACGGGAGGCAGCAGUAGGGAAUCUUCCACAAUGGACGCAAGUCUGAUGGAGCAACGCCGCGUGAGUGAAGAAGGUCUUCGGAUCGUAAAACUCUGUUGUUAGAGAAGAACACGAGUGAGAGUAACUGUUCAUUCGAUGACGGUAUCUAACCAGCAAGUCACGGCUAACUACGUGCCAGCAGCCGCGGUAAUACGUAGGUGGCAAGCGUUGUCCGGAUUUAUUGGGCGUAAAGGGAACGCAGGCGGUCUUUUAAGUCUGAUGUGAAAGCCUUCGGCUUAACCGGAGUAGUGCAUUGGAAACUGGAAGACUUGAGUGCAGAAGAGGAGAGUGGAACUCCAUGUGUAGCGGUGAAAUGCGUAGAUAUAUGGAAGAACACCAGUGGCGAAAGCGGCUCUCUGGUCUGUAACUGACGCUGAGGUUCGAAAGCGUGGGUAGCAAACAGGAUUAGAUACCCUGGGUAGUCCACGCCGUAAACGAUGAAAUGCUAGGUG
rnacentral:rRNA from 1 species